rnacentral:rRNA from 1 species
UCACAUCCUGGGGCUGAAGUAGGUCCCAAGGGUAUGGCUGUUCGCCAUUUAAAGUGGUACGCGAGCUGGGUUUAGAACGUCGUGAGACAGUUCGGUCCCUAUCUGCCGUGGGCGUUGGAAGAUUGAGAGGGGUUGCUCCUAGUACGAGAGGACCGGAGUGAACGCACCACUGGUGUUCGGGUUGUCAUGCCAAUGGCAUUGCCCGGUAGCUAAAGUGCGGAAGAGAUAACCGCUGAAAGCAUCUAAGCGGGAAACUUGCCUCGAGAUGAGUCUUCCCUGUCACCU